GCUCCCCUCUGCAAUCGUGCCUGAUUGAGCAUUACUGGGAAAUGCAGAAAUGUGGAGCCAGACUGGUACUGAGCAGUACAAGACUGAAGAUCUUUCUGUUAGUGGGUCUCACUCAGCACCAUCAGCUGAUAUCGCUUAAAGAGGUGCCAUGGUGAGAUUCACUGCAAAGCACAGGUAGAGAUAAAAAGGCUUCCUCUGGGAGCCAAGCAGCACAGAGGAGCUGGAGCCUUGGCAGGAGCAGGAGGUGCCCCGAGCAGCUCUGCAAGGAGUGAGUGCCCUCACUGCUCUGUCACCAGCAGUCCCUGGGAGCCAUCAGCACCCACCAGCCGUUCCCUGAGAUAAGGCCAAGCCAGCUGGGAGGAGAAUGCCUUUGAUAUUCCUGCCUUGCUGAGUAAGUAUGCCAUAACAAUAACACUGAACU
rnacentral:lncRNA from 1 species